rfam:Paenibacillus antarcticus strain CECT 5836 PBAT07, whole genome shotgun sequence.
AAUGUAAUAAGGCAAACCUAUAGAAAUAUAGGGACGCAAAGCUAAAGGGACUAAGGUUCAUGACUAUGUCAGCCAGCUGCCAAA